rfam:Erinaceus europaeus unplaced genomic scaffold scaffold00773, whole genome shotgun sequence
CUGCAGCCAGUUAAGCCAACCGUUCUGCCCUCCCCAUGGUGCCCAGUGUGCAGUGGCUGCAAACAGCAGCCUGCUGGGUAUAGUGUAUGCAGCCUGUUGCUUGUAUAGGCUCCCCUAAGGGACCCUGGAGAUAGCC